UGUUUGGUAUGCUGCUGAUUAAAUGGUGUAAUAUGCAAGGGAGAUAUGUAUACUGUAGCUAAGAAUGUAAUACUAAGUGUAUGUUGUGUAAUAAGCUGUUAGUAGCCAAUGUGCCUCAUCCUAAUAAUUUGGUCUGUUUUCCCCUCUUAAUUUCACCCAGUGUUCUGACUUGGUCAUGCACAUGUAGCCUAUAACGUGUUUUAGAGAAAUGUAAUCAUCGAAUAUUGUACGAGCUUUAAUUGUCUGCUUAUAUGCCCAUUUUAUUUAUCCUACCAUUCUGACUUGGUGUACAGGGAGAAUACUGUAAGAAUGGCCCAUGUUCUAAAUUCUGUCGCUGUACAUUUCAAAAGUGCUGAACAAAUGCUUAAAUUGACUACGUCCGUCCUAGCUCUAUAUAUAUUUUUUAAAGCAGUAAAUGAGGCUGAAUGAACUGUUUUGCUGCCAGACAAGGCUUCGCUGAUAGCCAGGUGUAGCAAUAGUAAGGUGUUGGGACUCUGCUGUUGGGACAGCUUUAGGCUCUAACAGUUUGUGUGCACCGUUUGUCACUGUUAUAGUGCAAUUAAUGUGUUGUGUAGUGGCUUUGCUGGCAUGUAUCCCCAAAAAUGUUUUUUGUUUGCUCCACCAAGAUUUUGUCAUCGCACCAGAGGCGGCAGAGACCAUCCUGGAGACCUUUAUUGGACUCAGGUGUACUGUGAUCCUGCGUCUACCGUAUCACACACUCUCCAGCAAGAAGUUGAGCAGGUCCUUGUCCUUGAACUCGGUUCCCAUGGUAACCCCCUCGCCACCCUUUAACCUCUCCAUGGCGAUGAUGAGGUUGGCAAUGUGACGCAUGGUGAUGGGGUGAUGGGAUACCUCCAGAUCCAGACCCUGAGGCAGCUUGGAGCUCCAUGCCUUACUUUCAGAGGUGUUCUGCACAUGGGGAGGAGGAAAUAUUACAUUUUCAUGUUUUAUGUCCAAAUGUUGUGGGUAUGUCUUGUCCUUGUAGGAGCUGGGGACUCACCUUUAUUAAACUGUAGUUUGACUCAAAUUCCAUGUCUGUAUAGUUAGAUCUGGAAAAUAAAAUGAUCCGUUUGUAAAGCUCUGUCCUGUCCAUAAUAGAUUGGCAUCAUGCUUAGUCAGUUGCUUAAAGAUGCUGAAGAGUUGAAAGCUCAUUCAGAUUUUUUGGAAACAGUAAAUACAUAUACAGUCCAGUCUAAAUAAACCUUUUAAAUAUGUGUUAUUACUAACACUAUAUAGCAAUAAAUAAUGCUACCACAAUUAGCAGUAUAAUACAUGGACAUCAAUACAGUAGAAGUAUUAUAGCAAACAUGAGUAAAGACAGGAUAUAAAGUUAAUUUACCUUGAGUUGUUUUGUAGUUUGUAGGUAGGUAACAGUGUCUUGUAUUCAGUCCUUAGUCCUUGUGAAUCCUAAGUUGUUUUCUGACUACAUGUGGUGAGCUGUAUGUCUUAUAUACACCCUGGGCACACACUAGGAAUUUCCCUUUACACACAGGAGGAAGUGGGAUGGUUUUACCAGACCAGCUAGUACGUUGUAUUGUUUAAAGGGACAAUCCGUAGUUCAAACAAUAAACAAAGCGUUUUCCCGCCCCUGUUUCAGUAAAAAGCUGAGGGAUGGGGCUGGAGAAAUGUAACCACUCUCAAAUUCAGAGACAGAGCUAUGAAUGCAAUAACUGACCAUCCACGAUAUAAAAAAAAAUAGCGUUUUAACCAUGUUUUGAAGCUAUAUAGUGUUUGUUUAUAUGUUCUGUUUACAAACAUUGUAGUAAAGCAAGCUAUAUUUUGGGUUCUGAUGGGGUACUAUAGAUAUCCUGAAAUAUGCUCAUGAGGCAUUUAUAAAUUCAAGAAUCAAUGGGUAUGCCUAAAUGUCAUUAAUUUAUUCCAAAAAUGAAUGUAACAUCUGCAGAUUGCCUCUUUAAUGAUGUUGGUGAUGAAAUACUGGACUCGCAACAGCUUGACGUACAGUAUUGCACUCAUAUGUUAAAUUCUGGCUUGUGUACAUGCUCGUUACUGACGUGCCACUUAUUGUAUUGAUUUAUCUUCUGGUUGAUGUCAUAUGCCUGUUUGUCUGAUACUGAUGUGUUGAGGCUGCUGUCUUGCUCCAGGUCUCUCAAAGAAAUAUGUUUUUUAACUCAACGGGACUAACCUGGUUAAAUAAAGGUUAAAUAAAAAUGUUUUAAAAACAGGAAA